rnacentral:rRNA from 1 species
UUGGUCAGGUUGAAGUUCAGGUAACACUGAAUGGAGGACCGAACCGACUUACGUUGAAAAGUGAGCGGAUGAACUGAGGGUAGCGGAGAAAUUCCAAUCGAACUUGGAGAUAGCUGGUUCUCUCCGAAAUAGCUUUAGGGCUAGCCUCAAGUGAUGAUUAUUGGAGGUAGAGCACUGUUUGGACGAGGGGCCCCUCUCGGGUUACCGAAUUCAGACAAACUCCGAAUGCCAAAUAAUUUAACUUGGGAGUCAGAAUGUGGGUGAUAAGGUCCAUAUUCGAAAGGGAAACAGCCCAGACCACCAGCUAAGGUCCCAAAAUAUAUGUUAAGUGGAAAAGGAUGUGGCGUUGCCCAGACAACUAGGAUGUUGGCUUAGAAGCAGCCAUCAUUUAAAGAGUGCGUAAUAGCUCACUAGUCGAGUGACACUGCGCCGAAAAUGUACCGGGGCUAAACAUAUUACCGAAGCUGUGGAUUGUCCUUUGGACAAUGGUAGGAGAGCGUUCUAAGGGCGUUGAAGCAUGAUCGCAAGGACAUGUGGAGCGCUUAGAAGUGAGAAUGCCGGUGUGAGUAGCGAAAGACGGGUGAGAAUCCCGUCCACCGAUUGACUAAGGUUUCCAGAGGAAGGCUCGUCCGCUCUGGGUUAGUCGGGUCCUAAGCUGAGGCCGACAGGCGUAGGCGAUGGAUAACAGGUUGAUAUUCCUGUACCACCAUUAUUCGUUUUAAGCGAUGGGGGGACGCAGUAGGAUAGGCGAAGCGUGCUGUUGGAGUGCACGUCCAAGCAGUGAGAUUGAGUGUUAGGCAA